UUUGUAAAAAAAUUUUUUUUUUUUAUAAAUGUUAAUAUUAAUGAAAUCAUACAUUCUGAUCGAUUUGCCUGACGGUAAAAUAAUGGUUGAAAGUCGCUAUUAUAUUGAUAAUUAGCGUUAGAGGCUGGACAAGUAUAGGAAUUGUGUAAUGGCAUUAUUACUAUUCAAUUUAUUGAUGGUAAUUGUGUCCUCGGUAAUCGAUAUUUAUAUCAAUUCCGGGCCGUUCAUAUACUGUUAGUUUGGCAUAUCUCUGACAGACUUUAUUAUUUUCAAAUAAAACCAAUCAGCAACGCUAUAGCUUUGGGUACUUUCAGGACCCGUCUUGAAACACGGACCAAGGAGUCUAGCAUGUUCGCAAGCCAUUGGGAUAUUAAACCUAUAGGCAUAAUGAAAGUGAAAAACAUUUUAUCUUUGGAUAUAAUGGAGGGAAGAUAAAUAAAGAAAUGCAUUGAUUUCUUUCUUCUAUCUAAGUAAGAGUCUAACUAUUUCAUAUUUCGCAUUCCCGGGGCGUUUAAAUUUCAUUUACUUGUAGAUGAGAUUAUGCGCACCAAGAGUGUACACGCUGGGACCCGAAAGAUGGUGAACUAUGCCUGGUCAGGACGAAGUCAGGGGAAACCCUGAUGGAGGUCCGUAGCGAUUCUGACGUGCAAAUCGAUCGUCG
rnacentral:rRNA from 1 species